rnacentral:misc_RNA from 1 species
AUUACUUUGYAGUGAUGGYGAAACACCGUGCACUGGCAGCCAAAGAUUGGAGAGAGCAAGGCAKUUCAAUAGAGGUGUGCUGCCGGCGUUCGCUCGGGUGCAGCACUUAAAAUUGUGGGAUCAUGUCAUACCGCCGCCUGCAUAGCCUCGAACGCUCUUUCCUGUCUUUG